CCUGGCUUGGUGCCAGGGGUGGGAGUACCUGGAACUGGCAUCCUUCCUGGGGCAGGCAUCCCCCAAGUAGGGGUGCAGCCUGGUGCUAAACCUCCCAAAUUUGGUACGUACCCCUGCUUCUUGCCCCAGGGCCACCUCGGGCUGUCCCCGGGCACCCUUCUCCUGUGGCCAUCGGGGUGCUGACCUCUCUUCCUGUCCCCUACAUGCCCACUUUGCCCUGAUGGCCUAGGUGUGGGAAGUGGUGUGCUGUCACCCAUGGGUGCAAAGUGCCACCUGUAUCCCCUGCCCUGGACUCGCUGAGGACAGUUUUCUCCUUCAUGUGUCAUGCAGGGGCUGAAGCCCCUCUGGGUACUGUGAGAUGGGUGCUGGGGACUCCCAACAUGGGUGCCAGGGCCACCCCAACAGGUUGGGCAGUGGCUGGGGGUGCUCCGAGCUGGGGGUGCCAGGCUGUGGGGGACAGGUGUUAAUGCUGUCUCUCUGGCAGGUGUUCCUGGGGUUGGAGUCCCAGGGGUUGGUGGCCUCCCAGGUGGCCUUGGAGUCGGUGGGCUCGGAGUUGGUGGCCUCGGUGAGUGAUGCUGGUCCCGGCGUGGGGCUCCCCAGGGCUGGGCUGCAGGGAGCAGCAGCAGCAGCAACGGAGUGCUGGCAGAGCCAUGAAAAGGGAGUCUGUGGGUCACUUCUGUCCCCUCCCAGUCUGGGAGUACAAUCCCACUCUGCACUGUCACUGUCCCCUGUCCUGUUUGUCACCUGCCCUGUUCCCAGGGGGUGA
rnacentral:lncRNA from 1 species